CUAUUAUUAAACAAUAUUUUUCCUGCCACAAGCCGUAAAACUUAAGCGUAUUGUAACUCAGCCUUUUAUUUUUAUCGAUAAUUCGAUAGAAAUAGGUCGGUGCAUUUGCAAAGUAGGUGGCAUUGCUCAGUGUUGAUUUGUUUGCUGAAGUGUGUGAGUGCGUUAAUAGUUUGUUUGACGUGAAGUGAAAAGUGUAUUUUAAUGCAGAUUUUUAAAAGUUUAUUUAGAAAAUAAUUUCUUUUCACAGAAUUAAAAAGUAAAUUAAAGGAAGAGCACUUCCCAUCAUUUUGAAAUACGGUUAGAAAAGACUACAUUGACGUGUGGAGCACCAUUUUUUAUCAAGGACGUACUUAUCUGAGUACCUAGCCAUAUAAAUCAUCUGUAUCCGCAACGACGUGCGUUUGAAACUUAAUCACUAUAAAAAUAAGGACCAUAAAAUAUUCCGCUAAGAGUUGCAAACAUAAAUAGUAUGUUCAAAUUCUUUUUUUAUGGUAGUAGUAGUAGGUAGUGUAAAUCGCCUUUACCACUCGCGUAAGAUUGCGUAUACCUGUCUAUAUACAUAUAGUUUUAUGUAUUAUUUUCUACAUAUUAUACAAAUCUCUUUUAUACACUUUUUCAUACUGUUUAUGUAUAUAGUUCAAAUACAUAGUUUUAUA